rnacentral:tRNA from 1 species
AGCAGCGUGGCUCAGUGGAAAGAGCCCGGGCUUGGGAGUCAGAGGUCAUGGGUUCGAACCCCAGCUCUGCCA